rnacentral:rRNA from 1 species
GACGAACGCUGGCGGUGUGCUUCACACAUGCAAGUCGAACGAGGUAGCAAUACCUAGUGGCGGACGGGUGAGUAACGCGUGGGAAUCUGCCUUUGGAUGGGGGAUAACGGGUCGAAAGACUCGCUAAUACCGCAUAUGACGAAAGUUGAAAGGAGUAAUCCGUCUAAAGAUGAGCCCGCGUCCGAUUAGCUAGUUGGUAGAGUAAAAGCCUACCAAGGCGACGAUCGGUAGCUGGUCUGAGAGGAUGAUCAGCCACAAUGGGACUGAGACACGGCCCAUACUCCUACGGGAGGCAGCAGUGGGGAAUUUUACGCAAUGGGCGAAAGCCUGACGUAGCGACACCGCGUGAGCGAAGAAGCCCCUUGGGGUGUAAAGCUCUGUCAGCUAGAACGAAAAAAUAGACGGUACCAGCAGAGGAAGCAUCGGCUAACUACGUG